rnacentral:rRNA from 1 species
GACGAACUGUCCUAACGUUGUUCGGAAUCACUGGGCUUAAAGGGCGCGUAGGCGGUCCGACAAGUCAGGGGUGAAAUCCUGCAGCUUAACUGCAGAAGUGCCUCUGAUACUGUCGGUCUGGAGGGAGAUAGGGGUGUGCGGAACUUCCAGUGGAGCGGUGAAAUGCGUUGAUAUUGGAAGGAACGCCGGAGGCGAAAGCGGCGCACUGGAUCUCUUCUGACGCUGAGGCGCGAAAGCUAGGGGAGCAAACGGG